rnacentral:misc_RNA from 1 species
CACUACCGUCAUUAUUAUUGUACCUACAAGAAGUGUAAAAUAUAUGAUUUGUAAAAAUGUGAUUGGAAAUAUAGAACAAUACAUAACUGUUUUCCUGAGUUAUAAAUCAUUUGCAGAAAUUGGUCUCAUUAUAUGGCCCUGAGUAGAGCAAUAGAAAAAAUUGUGCAAAGAAUCAUAAAAAUGGAACUCUAUCCUCAUAGGCUGAUUGUUAAAUUAACUUUACAAUCCAUGCUUGAUUAUAAAAUUUAUAAAUUUGGAAACCAGUAAAUCGACAAUAUAUUUAAAUUGCCCGCUAUAAAAAUCGAGUUAUCAAAAGUACCGAUCGAUAGAAAACGAUAUAUAGAAUGUGCAUACGAAACAAAAUUCAAAAUCCGUUGAAAACGGCAGGUAUAUUUUGUCUGUAUUGUUAUCUUAUGCGUAUGCGAUUAAAAUAUCAUGAACAAUGUGAUUAAUUACCCUUCUUGUAUAAAAAUUCCUCCUACAAAUGUAAAACAAAGUGCAACUAUUACAAUGUCUUCUCAAAAAUUUGAUAUUAAAGAAGCAAUAACGUUAAACGAUGAAUUAAUAUCAUUAGCAAAUAAAACUUUUGGAGAAAGAAAAUGGAAUCAUAGUGUUACUAGUCAAACAAUUGAUUUUGUAGAAUCUUUUAUGGGUAAAUAUAUUUGUGGAUGUGUUACAUUCAUUAAAAUUCAGUUACAAGAUGGAACAUUUCAUGAAGACAUAGGAUAUUGUCAUGCAGAAGGAGCCAUUAAAGGUUUAUCAAUACAUUGUGCACGGAUUGGUUCUCUCGUGGAUGCCUUUAAAAAAACAUUAUCAUGCUUUGGCAAUGAACUGGCAAAUCAAAUAAAGAAGCUCUCAAAAAAGUUAACAAACUCUAAUACAUGUAAUGUUGAAAAGGAAGACUUGCAUCUCUCUAUACAAAGCAUACCAGCUGAUUUACUUGAACCAUGUGCACAAUCAACUCCACUUAUAAGUAAUAAAAAUGAAAAUACUUGUAAACCUAUCACUUCAGUUAAUGAAGAAAAGCAGUCAUUGACAAGACCAAAAAGUCCUGUUGGACAAAGAGGACAAACAAUAAUACAACAUUCAUCUAUACCUGUAAAAGUUGAAAAUGGUGUAAAAGAUCAAUUACAGUCUAAUGACACGAAUUUUCAAAAUGAACCAGAACAUAAAGCUCAAGAUUCGAAAAAAGUAUUAAGUGAAGAGGAAUUACAACGGUUAGAACGAAAGCGAAAACAGAUGGAGAAACAAGCUGAGUACAAAAGACUUAUGAGGGAAAAAGAACAACAAAAAUUAAAUGAGAAUAAGAAACCCAAUCCCAAAUAUUAAUCAUUAAAAUAAGGUGAUACAUAUUGUCGAUUUCAUGAAUGACCAGAGUCGUUUCAGAUAGCUCGAUCGAACUCCCGAGAUUUCAGGAAAAUAAAAAAUCACCAGGUAUGCACGUCAGAAUCGUCGUAAAAACGCUUGCGCGUUAGGCUUAGUUACUACAAAGUAUGUACCAAUCAGAGCCAGCACGAGCAGAAUGACCGAAUGUCAUUCAUUCGACAAUCUUAGUUUCUCGUGAAAUCGACAAUAUAAAUUUUACAUAUAUAAAAUAUAUUGUAAAAUGUACAAAAAAUAACCUUAUAAUAUAUACAUGUAUCACUGUAAUUAUAAUGAUAUAUUUUGAUAAAGACAACAUAUAAUUAUUUUUAUAGAAAUUUUACACUUGGUUUCGGCUUAAAAAUUAAGGUUAUAAACUGCCCAAAACGAAUUUUAGUAGAUUAAAAACAAACAUCUAAUAAAUAUCACAAAAUUUUUUAACUUUAAAUUGAAAACUAC